CAAUGGAUACAGCUGGAAUCCAAAACUCCAUCUGUGCUAUAAUGUCCACACAGGUUCUCCCAAAUCAUGGACGGAUGCAGAAAACGCAUGUAUUCAAGAUGGCGGACAUCUUCUUAAAGUUGACAACCUCGCAACAAAUCUACUAAUGAACUACUUUGCUGUAAAACACAGAGUAUCCAUGUGGCUUGGCGGUACUGAUAUACAAGUGGAGGGAACGUGGUUGUGGGCAGACAACUCUUCAAUUCAAUCCGUUUGGUGGAAUACAGAAGGGCAUCAACCUCGAGGACGCGUCUCUCAGCACCAUGCUCGUGUUUGUGGGUUCCAGCAAAGUGAUGAACAUGUCACCCUCUCAACCUUAAUCAA